rnacentral:lncRNA from 1 species
GUGUGUGUGUGUGUGUGUGUGUGUGUGUGUUCUUUGCCAUGUCCACAGAUGUCAUUGCAACAGACAAAGAAGAGGUUGCCUUCAAAGACCUGGACGUGGCUGUCCUUGUGGGCUCCAUGCCAAGAAGGGAGGGCAUGGAGAGGAAGGACCUACUGAAAGCCAACGUGAAGAUCUUCAAAUCCCAGGGCGCAGCCUUGGAGAAGUACGCCAAGAAAUCAGUUAAGGUGACUUGCAGCAUGUUUUAUGGAGAUGUUUUCUUACUUGUAUUUCAGACCUCUGCUUUUGAUGUUUAAAUACCAGAGCUGCUUAUAUUAGUUUCUGGUUCUAUACAAAGUUCAGCGAGUACGGCUAGACGUGGAGGGAAGAGGACACCUUUCUUGUGCCGCUCGCUCUGGGUGCUUGGUGAGACCUUCAUAGUCGUGUGUGUUGUGGAAGGUGGCUGCUGAGUGCUCCUUGUCAGUCACUGCAGUCUCUGCUGGUCCAUGGGAUUGUUACAGGCUGUCCCAUGA